rnacentral:rRNA from 1 species
GAUGAACGCUGGCGGCGUGCCUAAUACAUGCAAGUCGAGCGAACGGACGAGAAGCUUGCUUCUCUGAUGUUAGCGGCGGACGGGUGAGUAACACGUGGAUAACCUACCUAUAAGACUGGGAUAACUUCGGGAAACCGUAGCUAAUACCGGAUAAUAUUUUGAACCGCAUGGUUCAAAAGUGAAAGACGGUCUUGCUGUCACUUAUAGAUGGAUCCGCGCUGCAUUAGCUAGUUGGUAAGGUAACGGCUUACCAAGGCAACGAUGCAUAGCCGACCUGAGAGGGUGAUCGGCCACACUGGAACUGAGACACGGUCCAGACUCCUACGGGAGGCAGCAGUAGGGAAUCUUCCGCAAUGGGCGAAAGCCUGACGGAGCAACGCCGCGUGAGUGAUGAAGGUCUUCGGAUCGUAAAACUCUGUUAUUAGGGAAGAACAUAUGUGUAAGUAACUGUGCACAUCUUGACGGUACCUAAUCAGAAAGCCACGGCCAACUACGUGCCAGCAGCCGCGGUAAUACGUAGGUGGCAAGCGUUAUCCGGAAUUAUUGGGCGUAAAGCGCGCGUAGGCGGUUUUUUAAGUCUGAUGUGGAAGCCCACGGCUCAACCGUGGAGGGUCAUUGGAAACUGGAAAACUUGAGUGCAGAAGAGGAAAGUGGAAUUCCAUGUGUAGCGGUGAAAUGCGCAGAGAUAUGGAGGAACACCAGUGGCGAAGGCGACUUUCUGGUCUGUAACUGACGCUGAUGUGCGAAAGCGUGGGGAUCAAACAGGAUUAGAUACCCUGGUAGUCCACGCCGUAAACGAUGAGUGCUAAGUGUUAGGGGGUUUCCGCCCCUUAGUGCUGCAGCUAACGCAUUAAGCACUCCGCCUGGGGAGUACGACCGCAAGGUUGAAACUCAAAGGAAUUGACGGGGACCCGCACAAGCGGUGGAGCAUGUGGUUUAAUUCGAAGCAACGCGAAGAACCUUACCAAAUCUUGACAUCCUUUGACAACUCUAGAGAUAGAGCCUUCCCCUUCGGGGGACAAAGUGACAGGUGGUGCAUGGUUGUCGUCAGCUCGUGUCGUGAGAUGUUGGGUUAAGUCCCGCAACGAGCGCAACCCUUAAGCUUAGUUGCCAUCAUUAAGUUGGGCACUCUAAGUUGACUGCCGGUGACAAACCGGAGGAAGGUGGGGAUGACGUCAAAUCAUCAUGCCCCUUAUGAUUUGGGCUACACACGUGCUACAAUGGACAAUACAAAGGGCAGCGAAACCGCGAGGUCAAGCAAAUCCCAUAAAGUUGUUCUCAGUUCGGAUUGUAGUCUGCAACUCGACUACAUGAAGCUGGAAUCGCUAGUAAUCGUAGAUCAGCAUGCUACGGUGAAUACGUUCCCGGGUCU